ACUGUGCAACAAUGAUGAUCCCACUGAUUCUACUGCUGACCACACUGAUCUUCUUCCCUCAAGUUUCACACCAAGAGACUCAGACUCCCGAGUUUCUGUCUGUUGAAGCAGGAAAGAGUGUUUCUAUUAGCUGUACUGGAACUGAUGGAGUUGAUGAAUAUAUGAGUUGGUAUCUGCAGAAACCUGGAGAAGCUCCUAAACUACUGAUAUAUAAGGCAAACAGACGCUGGACUGAAGUUUCAGAAAGAUUCAGUGGGUCAUAUUCUGGACUUAACUUUCAACUGAGUAUCAGUGGAGUCCAGGCUGAGGAUGCAGGAGAUUAUUACUGUAUGGGGGUGUAUGUAGGUCCAGUGUUCACACAGUGAAAAAGCAUCGUACAAAAACCUCCCUCAGUCAGACUGAACAGAAACUGCACAGCUGCAGCUGGAGGAGAUCA